rnacentral:lncRNA from 1 species
CCUUUGAUCAUCCUUCAAUUGUUGAUGUGAAAGAAGUAGUUGUGGGGAGCAGUCUUGACAGCAUCUUCAUGGUAAUGGAAUACAUGGAGCAUGAUCUGAAGGCACUGAUGGAGACGAAGAAACAGCCAUUUAGUCAGAGUGAGGUCAAGUGCCUCAUGCUCCAGUUACUCGAAGGUGUGAAGUAUCUUCAUGAUAAUUGGGUUCUCCAUAGAGAUUUAAAGACCUCAAAUUUGCUUUUAAAUAACCGUGGUGAGUUGAAGAUAUGCGAUUUUGGGUUGGCUCGUCAAUAUGGAAGCCCCUUAAAACCAUACACUCAUUUGGUUGUAACUUUGUGGUACAGGUAAAUUAUAAAUCCAGAAUCAAUUGCUUUCUCCUGAGCUGAUUUUGCUAUCAUGUAUUAGUUUUAAAUUUCUUCACGGUGUUGGAUGUUAUUAUGUCUUGUUCUGUCCUUAACCUUUCUAAAGUGCGUUGUAGAUCCAUAAUUAUGUGAUCUUUCGUUUUCAAUUUUAACCGUCCAUUCUUUAAUAUUCAGCUUUGUUAUUGGCACAUUGUUGUUGCUUUUACUCUGUUUAUUAUUUUUGCAGGUUCCUUUAUUUGUUUCUAAUUUGGAUUUAGUGUGUGUACUACUUGUAUAUCAUUUUAUCUUGGGUAUAUAUGUUUCUUUUUGUAACAUGCUUGUAUUUUUAUAAUCUUAUAAUAGGUAUUAAAAUAAAAUUUUGGUACAGGGCACCUGAACUUUUAUUGGGAACGAAACAGUAUUCAACUGCAAUUGACAUGUGGUCCCUGGGUUGCAUUAUGGCUGAGCUCCUGUCCAAGGAACCACUAUUUAACGGGAAGACAGAAUUUGAUCAGAUAGACAAGGUAUUUUCUAUUUCAGUGAUCUCUUGGUAAGGAAGUUUGAUAAUUAUGAAAUUCUUGUUAUUGCAUUUCUUUAUGUGUUCCUUAGCUACAUCAACUUGAUUUGUGCAGAUAUUUAAAAUGCUCGGCGUACCAAAUGAGACUAUAUGGCCUGGUUUCUCUAAACUCCCUGGAGUGAAGGUGAAAAACGUCAAGCAGCCGUAAGUGUUUAUUUGCCUGAAUAACAGUACUUGUCUAAGUCUUAGUUCACCCUAUCUUAUUCUCGCCACUUGUUUUCCCAGGCUUCCAGCUUUGGGUGGUAUUCUGGUCUGGUUUACUGGCCUCGAUUGGUGAAAGUUUCAAUUAGAAGACAAGUAUAUCAUUUGUCUAUUAACUAGAGGUGUAUAUGUUUCAGGUACAAUCUGCUGCGUAAGAAGUUCCCAGCUACAUCUUUCACAGGAUCUCCAGUUCUCUCAGAUGCUGGAUUUGACUUGCUGAACAAGCUUUUAACUUAUGAUCCGGAGAAGGUAUGUAUAUGUUACACAUUCCUGUUCAAGAUUAUUAUUGAUACGUUAUAUUCUAGCUACUUAUCCUUGAUUGUAUGCGCAGAGAAUAACAGCUGAUGCUGCUCUUAACCAUGAGUGGUUCCGUGAAGUUCCUCUUCCUAAAUCCAAAGAUUUUAUGCCUACAUUUCCUGCUCAGCAUGCGCAGGACAGGUACGUUCUAGGCAACUUAGCUUGGUUGAUGCAGAUCCAUAAUUCUGAUCACUUGUUCGUAGUAUUGGUGAUGUAAUCGAGGUGAUGAUGUUUUUCCAGACGUACUCGAAGAUUAUUGAAGAGUCCAGAUCCUCUUGAAGAGCAGCGGCGGAAAGAGUUAAAGCAAAGGGAACUGGGGACAGGCGGUCUGUUUGGAUGAGCAAAUUUAGUAUAUGUGGAGUGCUUAAAAGCUCUGAUCUUAAAUGUAUAAUAUCCACUGAUGUACGCGCUGAAGGUGGCACAAAAUUAUUUUUGUGAUCAGCGGUGCUGUUUUUUAGCAGGCACCCCCUUGAUUUGGGCGGAAAGAUGUUCUUCAAAAUCAGAGAGUAGCAGCUUGGCUGUCCAUUGAUAUAUCAUUAGGUUCUGUGACACUGCUAGCAUAGCAAUGUCGAUAAUGGUCUCUAUCAGUUUAAUGUUAGAAUAGUCUCUCUUGGAACAGUAUGUAAUAUAUUUUACUGAAUUUGUAAGCAAUUCUCUUGUACAAUUGGUUUUGGUCACUGAAAAACAAGGUCUUUAUUCCCUAAGUGUCAUUUUCAAUGUUUAAUAAUUGGAUUAUUUUUUUAUUUGCGCGAGUCGGUUAGUAUAGAGCAGAACUGCUUGUACCUUGCUAGAUUUAUGUUUUGUUGGGGGUGAAUGGAUUUGGAUUUAUGUUUUGGUGGGGUGAAUGAAUUUGGAUUAUGUUGUGUUUAGUCGGGGGAAUGAAUUUGAAUGAAAUUUAUAUUAUGAUGUGAGUAAUUUUAUAUAAAUUUCAUUCUUUCUUUAAUUUCUUACAUUCUCUAUUAGAUAUCAUAUCUUCAUUUUGGGAAGAGAUACUUAAUUAUCUUUUAUACUAAAUUUAUUUUCAAGGUAUCUUGCACUUAUUCACUUAUUCUUUUAUUCUUUUAUAUCCAUUAUGUUAGUUUAUCUUUUAUCAUUCCAUUCUUCCCGGUUUUUCUAUUUUCCUGAGCAAAUCCAACUUUUAAGUUGAGUCAAGUUCUUUUAUAAAGAAUGAGACCUCAUUUCAAAUUCUUUUGUCACACGGCUCUUAAAUAAUCAGCACAAAGUAGAAUUCUCCUAUUCCUUCCAAAUUAUUAAUUUUAGCACAUUGCAAAAAACACGAGUUUUUACCAUCUAGAUAAUUAUGCAGCAAUUAAGUAAACUAGUUACUUACCUGGUUUGCACACGUACUGAAUGCUGCACUUGAAGUAUCUCGACGAGGAUUGUUGGAUCAACUCAGCUAAGAAAUUUUUCAGAACUAAUUUUGUGGAGGAGAAGAUAAUAAGAGAAGCAUUUAACACAAAAACUGAUAACAUAACUUCGGGGCUGCCUACCAUAACAAGAGAACUCUGGAGCUAAUUAACAAAAACUCGAAUUUGUCUGGUACUUAUUAGCAGUGGCGGAACCAGGAGACAAACUCAUCCGGGGCUCAAAAAAUAUUCGAGACUCAAAUAUUUAACAACAUUUGAUUGAGGAAAAAUAUCAGUUAAUACAAAGAUUUUUGAAAUUUACUCGGGGUUGAAAUUUUUCUUUUAUAUCAUUUUUAGAGAACAUCAGGGCUAAAAAAAAUUAAAUUUCUACUGGUUUUUUUUUCCUUGAUGGGGCUCCAGCCCCUCUUCGCCCCAUCGCCCCUUUCUACUGUUUGAAAUUCCCUCUUUGCACAGCUAAUUUUUUUUUACCCUUUUAAACAGUGUUCUGAAAAUCCUCGAUUUAACCGAUUAAUCCCCUGCAAGAUCGGUCACCGAUCCGAUUUUUGAAAUCCGAUUAAUCCUUAUAUAUAUUUCUUAAUUGAAGUAUAUAUGAUAAAUCAUUAGAAUUAAAAUACUAAAGUUUAUGAAUAUAGUAAAUAUAUUAGUUACUAAAUAGCUAAUAUAAUAAUAAUUAAAUAUUAAAUAAUAUUUUAAUAUUAAAAUAAAUCCGAUUUUCACACCGAUUAAUCUUUCCGAUUAAUCCCCGAUUUCCGAUUAAUCCCUAAAUCGGUAGCUCAACCGAUUAUGUCCGAUUCCCGAUUUCUGUACUGCUUUUAGGCCGAUAGUGGCGGUGCAAGACGCAUUAUAAAACCGAUAAACACACGGCUCCACAUGUGAUAUUUUAUCAUCCGAAUAAAAAUAAUACAAUAUUCGAUCGAAAAUAUAAAUACCUUUUAUCAAAUAUCAAAUCAGUCUCUUUGAGGUCUCGAUUACGCCCCUCUCUCUCUCUCGCAGCGAUUCCCGUCUCUCUUGAAGCGACGUCGCAGCCGUUUUGUAUUGUUGUUGCAAUUCAAUUGAACACGAGGAGUCACUCAACGGGUACUAGUCGAUUCAGUUAGGGUUUUAUUGUUGCAAUUGUGUUGUUUUUAUCCCCAAUUUGAUUUGUAGUGAUAAAGAUUGCUUUUUCUGUUUGAUGAUGCUUUGUGUUGGUUGUUUUUGAUUGAGUUGUGGUGUGUACGGGUCUUGAAUUGAUUAAAGUUUUGAUUUUUAGCGGUUUUGAUUAGUAUAUUUGGAAAGGGAUAAUAAUUGUUGAAUUGGAGAUUUAGGGUUAGGGUUUUUGUGAUUUUGUGUUUGGGUUUUUGAAGUUUUUUGUUGUCUUAUUUAUGCCGAAACAUAUGUCAGCUGGAAGAAACGGGGGUUAUCGUGAUAAGGAACUGAGGGAUCGUGAAUCAGAUCUCGAUGUGUCGAGUAGGGAUAUUGGGUAUUCUAAGGGGGAGAGUGAUAGAAUGAAGAAUGGUUAUAGGGAUUAUGAAAAAAUUCAAGGUCGGGGUGGGGGCAGAAGGGAUAGGGGGAGGGUGAGACAGAAGGAUGUUAAAGAGAGGGAAUUCGGUAAUGGGGGUUUGUAUCGGUCUGUUUCGAGGAGUGGGUCUGGGAGUAGUGGCAGUAGUGGAGGUGGUAGGUUGAGGGGAUUGUUGGUUGGUUCGGUUGAUCGUGAGCCUGGGGAGCUAUCAAGUGAGAGUGGAUCGGAGGAAGCUACUGAUUCGUCUCGGGCUGAUAAUAUUGAAAGUGUCAUGAAGCAGGAGAAUGGGACGAGUUUACCAGCUCAAUAUAAGAAGAGAAAGUACUCGCCGAUUGUUUGGGACAGCGAUGAAGUGAGUAUUGUAUCUAAACAAAGUGUUGCAUUGACACCUAGUGUUCUCCCUCCACCUCCACCGCCCAAGUCUUAUAGAGAGUCGCCUAACACUAUUGUUGCUGGUGCAGUUGAAAUUUCUCCAAUUGAGGAUACUAAGCUUCAACCCUCAGAGUUGGAGCUGCCGGUUGAGCCUGUUGUGGAAAUCGAGUCGCAGGUUUCUGUUGUAGCAGAGUCUCUUGGUGGUUUAUCUUCUUCUGCUCUUCAGGAACAGCACGCAGAAUACAAUGAGGAUUAUGCACCAACCUUGAAUAUAAGAUCCUCUAGAUGGGCAAAUGAUGCCAAUUCCCCAGCUGAUGAAGGGGAAAUUUCUGACUCUCCUGAUGUUAGAAUGCUGAAAAGGAGGAAGAAAAUGCCCUUGGCUGCACAAAAGGAGAUGAAGGUGCGGAAUAAAUUGAUUAGUCCGGAGUUGGUGGAGCUCAAGAGAGAAGGUUCUGAAGGUGUGAGGGCUAGAUCAUCUGAAUCUGAUGAAGGUGCUCACGGUAGGUCUUCGAGCGGAGAUUUUUAUGCAGACAAGGACCUGGACAAUGCUGAUUAUAUGGAGAUGGAUAUAGAACAUAAUAAUGGUAGUAAAAUUGGCCGUAAAGAUACAGAUUCAGAGGAUGAAUGUUAUUCUCGUGAUACGCCCGAACCUGCUGCUCCCCCGCAGAGGAGUGUGAACAUGCUUCAGGGUUGUAGAAGUGUGGACGAGUUUGAGAGGCUUAACAAAAUAGAUGAAGGUACGUAUGGGGUAGUAUAUAGAGCAAAAGAUAAGAAAACUGGAGAAGUUGUUGCAUUAAAGAAAGUCAAGAUGGAAAAAGAGAGGGAAGGUUUUCCAUUGACUUCUCUACGAGAGAUAAAUAUCCUCCUUUCCUUUGAUCACCCUUCAAUUGUAGAUGUGAAAGAAGUAGUUGUGGGGAGCAGUCUUGACAGCAUCUUCAUGGUAAUGGAGUACAUGGAGCAUGAUCUGAAGGCACUGAUGGAGACGAAGAAACAGCCAUUUAGUCAGAGUGAGGUCAAGUGCCUCAUGCUCCAGUUACUCGAAGGUGUGAAGUAUCUUCAUGAUAAUUGGGUUCUCCAUAGAGAUUUAAAGACCUCAAAUUUGCUUUUAAAUAACCGUGGUGAGUUGAAGAUAUGCGAUUUUGGGUUGGCUCGUCAAUAUGGAAGCCCAUUAAAACCAUACACUCAUUUGGUUGUAACUCUGUGGUACAGGUAAGUUAUAAAUUCAGAAUCAAUUGCUUUCUCCUGAGCUGAUUUUGCUAUCAUGUAUUAUAUGUUGUUAUGUUUUCCUCUGUCCUUACCCUUUCUAAAGUGCAUUGUAGAUCCAUAAUUAUGUGACCUUCCGGUUUCAAUCCUAAUUGUCCAUAAAAUAUUCAACUUUGUUAUUGGCACAUUGUUGUUGCUUUUACUCUGUUUAUUGUUGUAUGCAGGUUCAUUUAUUUGUUGAAUUGUUUAUAAUAUGGAUUUAGUGUGUGAACUACUUAUAUAUCAUUUUAUCUUGGGUAUAUAUGUUGCUUUUUUCAACAUGCUUGUAUUUUUAUAAUCUUAUAACAGGUAUUAAAAUAAAUUUUUGGUACAGGGC